rnacentral:rRNA from 1 species
GUUUGAUCAUGGCUCAGAACAACGCUGGCGGCAGGCUUCAUACAUGCAAGUCGAGCGGAAAGGCCCUUCGGGUACUCGAGCGGCGAACGGGUGAGUAACAGGUGGACAAUCUGCCCUCUGGCGGGGGACAACAGCUGGAAACGGCUGCUAAUACCGCAUGUGGUUGCAUGCCCCAGGGUGUGCAAAGAAAGGCGCGUUUGCGUCACCAGAGGAUGAGUCCGCCCCCCAUUAGCUAGUUGGUGUGAUAACAGCGCACCAAGGCUUCGAUGGGUAGCCGAGCUGAGAGGUUGAUCGGCCACACUGGGACUGAGACACGGCCCAGACACCUACGGGUGGCAGCAGUAGGGAAUAUUGGACAAUGGGCGAAAGCCUGAUCCAGCCAUGCCGCGUGAGUGACGAAGGUCUUCGGAUUGUAAAACUCUUUUAUGAGGGAAGAACCGCCUGGGGAGGAAAUGCCCUGGGUCUGACGGUACCUCAGGAAUAAGGGACGGCUAACUCCGUG